GCAAACUGGUCUAGUAUGAAGGCCUUUUCAACAAUACAUCAGUAUAACAGAGACUGGGGCAGCUUCUACCUUUUUCUUUAAAUUAGCAGGAAAGUUUAGCUAAUGAAGCCAGUUUCGGUACUGUUUGCGUUGUUUUGUGAAAAAAUAUAAUAAUAUGACAGAUAGAGACACUGUUUAACUUAUGAAUCAAUCACAAAAAAGAUGAAACAUCGUAAUUGAAAUGAUGCUCUUCAACAAAAUGAAGAAGAGCAUCAGAAAAUGAAAAAUUGCAGAGGAGUAGGUUAAUUAGGGAAGGUGGCAGCCAGUAGUUCUGCUGCGGGGAUCACAGUAAAGUUUGCGCUCUUGCUUGUCUGGAAGGCAGUAGUUGGCACCCCGCCCGCAGCCGUAGGCAGGAGCGUUAGACCCUAAUGAGUUGAACACAUUGUUGCUACCAGCCUGCAACAUCCUCAUCACCGAUUCACUGCUGCUCCCCGCGGAGUAGUCCACCUCCGACAAUUCUUCUUCCAAAAUACCUGUAUUCUUAUUAUGAACAUCAUCAUCAUCAUCAUAUAAGUGCAGCACCGUAAGAUUAGCACUAGCAGCAGCACUGACUCCGCAGCAAAUAAUUAGUAGCAGCAAGAUUGCAAUAGCCGGCCCAAUUGCCUGCUUCCCACGGUUGGAUGAGCGACCCAUCAUCAUCAUCAUCUCUACCCUCCUCCCUCUAUAGUAGUUGAGUUCCAGAAUUGGUUUAUUUAACUCCAACCCAAGGCACCAAUCACCAUGAUUGAAUGAUAUUGAUUGGGUUAUAGUAUUAUAUAUAUAUAAUUUUGUC
rnacentral:lncRNA from 1 species